UGGCCAGACUCCUACGGGAGGCAGCAGUGGGGAAUAUUGCACAAUGGGGGAAACCCUGAUGCAGCGACGCCGCGUGAGUGAAGAAGUAUUUCGGUAUGUAAAGCUCUAUCAGCAGGGAAGAAAAAAGACGGUACCUGACUAAGAAGCCCCGGCUAACUACGUGCCAGCAGCCGCGGUAAUACGUAGGGGGCAAGCGUUAUCCGGAUUUACUGGGUGUAAAGGGAGCGUAGACGGUUAUGUAAGUCUGGAGUGAAAGCCCGGGGCCCAACCCCGGGACUGCUUUGGAAACUGUGUAACUGGAGUACAGGAGGGGCAGGCGGAAUUCCUGGUGUAGCGGUGAAAUGCGUAGAUAUCAGGAGGAACACCGGCGGCGAAGGCGGCCUGCUGGACUGAAACUGACGUUGAGGCUCGAAAGCGUGGGGAGCAAACAGGAUUAGAUACCCGCGUA
rnacentral:rRNA from 1 species